UGGUUCCCGCAUGGACAAAGUCCUCGGGAUUUAAAGGGAACACGGAAGGCUUACCUAUCAAGGGGCCUAUGCCGUGGCUGCCCCCGCAACUGUGAACGGUGAGUUGGCGUCAAUCAUGGACCCCUGGGAAACCGGCAAGGCCGGACGCCAACGAAGAACCGGAGCCAGAAAACCUGCCACGCAUGAA
rnacentral:ncRNA from 1 species